rnacentral:rRNA from 1 species
AUUGAACGCUGGCGGCAGGCCUAACACAUGCAAGUCGAGCGGAUGAAGGGAGCUUGCUCCUGGAUUCAGCGGCGAACGGGUGAGUAAUGCAUAGGAAUCUGCCUGGUAGUGGGGGAUAACGUCCGGAAACGGGCGCUAAUACCGCAUACGUCCUGAGGGAGAAAGUGGGGGAUCUUCGGACCUCACGCUAUCAGAUGAGCCUAGGUCGGAUUAGCUAGUUGGUGGGGUAAAGGCCUACCAAGGCGACGAUCCGUAACUGGUCUGAGAGGAUGAUCAGUCACACUGGAACUGAGACACGGUCCAGACUCCUACGGGAGGCAGCAGUGGGGAAUAUUGGACAAUGGGCGAAAGCCUGAUCCAGCCAUGCCGCGUGUGUGAAGAAGGUCUUCGGAUUGUAAAGCACUUUAAGUUGGGAGGAAGGGCAGUAAGUUAAUACCUUGCUGUUUUGACGUUACCAACAGAAUAAGCACCGGCUAACUUCGUG